CCAGACUCCUACGGGAGGCAGCAGUGAGGAAUAUUGGUCAAUGGACGAGAGUCUGAACCAGCCAAGUAGCGUGAAGGAUGGCUGCCCUAUGGGUUGUAAACUUCUUUUAUAUGGGAAUAAAACAGGGUAUGGAUACCCUCUUGUAUGUACCAUAUGAAUAAGGAUCGGCUAACUCCGUGCCAGCAGCCGCGGUAAUACGGAGGAUCCGAGCGUUAUCCGGAUUUAUUGGGUUUAAAGGGUGCGUAGGCGGGUUAUCAAGUCAGCGGUAAAAUCGUGGAGCUCAACUCCAUCCAGCCGUUGAAACUGAUGAUCUUGAGUGGGCGAGAAGUAUGCGGAAUGCGUGGUGUAGCGGUGAAAUGCAUAGAUAUCACGCAGAACUCCGAUUGCGAAGGCAGCAUACCGGCGCCCGACUGACGCUGAAGCACGAAAGCGUGGGUAUCGAACAGGAUUAGAUACCCUAGUAACC
rnacentral:rRNA from 1 species